rnacentral:rRNA from 1 species
UCAGAGUGUCCCCGCUAGGGGUAUUUUUUGGCCCCUCUAAAAAUGGUGCAAAAUAAGGUUGGGCAAGUCUGGUGCCAGCACCCG